CCCCAAAUCCUCUGUUCCCUCUCUCAAAAGUCAAAAACCCCUCCUCUAUCCUUGCAUAAGAUGGAGUGUUACCGUAGUCUCUCUUCCCACCUCUGUAUCUUUAACAAUCCAUCAGGUUCUUUUUCUCUCUGCAAAACUUCAUGCAUUUUCCGUGCAAACCAGUGAAGAUGCUUGUAUAAGCAAGAAGAACUAUGGAAAUGAAAGACACAAAAGAGCUUUUAGAAAAACAAUAUUAGGAGACAUUCGGUAAAAAGGAUCAGAUCUACCCUAAAACUACGGAUUCUUCUCAAAAUUAUUGGGAGUGUUCGAUAUGUGCUAUCAAUGAAAGGUUUAUUUCAUAGGUAUCAGAUGCAGGCACAAAUAAGAUUGACUAAAAAUAAAAGGAAGUUUGUGCAAAGAUGAGGUUAAAGACCCCGCUGAUGAAGUAUGCAAACAAAAUCUUGUAAAGAUGAAACGAAUACAUCAAGAACCCUGAAAUGAUGGAUGGUCUUGAAGACUCACAUAACCAAACAUCAAGAGUGAAUCAGUGGAGAGACAUUAAGGACUUGAGUAUGUUUUUGGUAAUAACAGGACAUUAACAAGGAAUAUAUGGUGUGCUUGAGCUCUACUUUUAAUUACAUCUCACAACAUAUAAGUAAGAAAUUCCUAUAUUCAGAAACUGACGAGCAUAAUAUUUCUGGAUAUAGAAAGGGUGUGCUUGGCUGAUUUGCUUGUCAUUUUUCUACUGAUUUCACCUAGUCGACAAUGAUAAAGUUCACGUUAUACCUCCAAUGUGUUCUGUUUAAUUCAUUAUCCUAAAGUUCUAUAUUGCAUAACUUGGGGCACAAAUGAAGUAAGAGUAAAAAUUACAAAAUGCUAACUUCUAAUAAUUAACUUGUUUGGCAUGAACUUGGUUGGAAAUUUGUGCCUAAUGAAGGUAGGUGCCAAACAACAGAAUUCUUCAAUUAGUAUUUUUGAUUAGUAUUACUGAUAUAGCUUCAGUAACGAAAAGAAUACUCCAUAGUAUACCUAUUUGUUGUGUGAUCUCUAUCUAAAAAUGUGGAGCCUGCGCAUAUCGUUGCUCUAUUAUUUACUUCCACAAAAUAAAACUAAAAGAAGAUCUCACUUGUGAAAUUAUAUUAGCUAUGUUAUUGCAUGUCACUAGAGGAAGUUGGUUGUUUGGAGUGUCUCCCUUUGGAGGAAGGAAAUGUCUUAUCUCUCAGUUUCUUUCCAAGUCUUUGUUGUCUACUUCUGCCUCUUUUGAUAGUAGAUGUACCGUCGUAAUCAAACGUAUCUUUGAGAUGAGGUUGAGUACAGUCUUCUUCAUUGUUCAAGUUAGAGUCGGUGAGCUCCAUGUGACUGUGACUCUGUUCAGCAGCGUCAUCAUCUGAUUGCAGCUUCUGUUUUUCACCAUGUGUAGCAUGAAAUCAUCCGGAGAAGAGUCUGGUUAUUAUUGUUAUCAAAUGCUUUCUUACUGUAAGUUUGUGCAUUUUCUUCCUCAUUGUUCAACUUUGAUUUGGUAAGUACCACGCCACUGUUUUUUUCUGAUUGUAGUAUAUGUUGUUCACCUUGAGAAGUAAAAUCAUAUCUUCUGUCAACUCAUCUAUCAGUGGCCCUCCUUCUUGGAUUUUAGCUUCAGCACAAACAUUUUUGGAGACACUUAAAUGAAUGUUGACGUUAUCCUCUCUUUU